rnacentral:rRNA from 1 species
ACGUACACUCCUGCGGGAGGCAGCAGUGGGGAAUAUUGGACAAUGGGGGCAACCCUGAUCCAGCCAUGCCGCGUGAGUGAUGAAGGCCCUAGGGUUGUAAAGCUCUUUUGUGCGGGAAGAUAAUGACGGUACCGCAAGAAUAAGCCCCGGCUAACUUCGUGCCAGCAGCCGCGGUAAUACGAAGGGGGCUAGCGUUGCUCGGAAUCACUGGGCGUAAAGGGUGCGUAGGCGGGUCUUUAAGUCAGGGGUGAAAUCCUGGAGCUCAACUCCAGAACUGCCUUUGAUACUGAGGAUCUUGAGUCCGGAAGAGGUGAGUGGAACUGCGAGUGUAGAGGUGAAAUUCGUAGAUAUUCGCAAGAACACCAGUGGCGAAGGCGGCUCACUGGUCCGGUACUGACGCUGAGGCACGAAAGCGUGGGGAGCAAACAGGAUUAGAAACCCCAGUAGUCCC